rnacentral:rRNA from 1 species
UACGUAGGGUGCGAGCGUUGUCCGGAAUUAUUGGGCGUAAAGAGCUUGUAGGCGGUUUGUCGCGUCUGCUGUGAAAAUCCGGGGCUCAACCCCGGACUUGCAGUGGGUACGGGCAGACUAGAGUGUGGUAGGGGAGACUGGAAUUCCUGGUGUAGCGGUGAAGUGCGCAGAUAUCAGGAGGAACACCGAUGGCGAAGGCAGGUCUCUGGGCCACUACUGACGCUGAGGAACGAAAGCCAGGGGAGCGAAAGGG